rnacentral:rRNA from 1 species
UAUUUAUUAGAUAAAAAACCGAUGCCCUUCGGGGCUCCUUGGUGAAUCAUAAUAACUUAACGAAUCGCAUGGCCUUGCGCCGGCGAUGGUUCAUUCAAAUUUCUGCCCUAUCAACUUUCGAUGGUAGGAUAGUGGCCUACCAUGGUAUCAACGGGUAACGGGGAAUUAGGGUUCGACUCCGGAGAGGGAGCCUGAGAAACGGCUACCACAUCCAAGGAAGGCAGCAGGCGCGCAAAUUACCCAAUCCCGACACGGGGAGGUAGUGACAAUAAAUACUGAUACAGGGCUCUUUUGGGUCUUGUAAUUGGAAUGAGUACAAUUUAAAUCCCUUAACGAGGAACAAUUGGAGGGCAAGUCUGGUGCCAGCAGCCGCGGUAAUUCCAGCUCCAAUAGCGUAUAUCAAAGUUGUUGCAGUUAAAAAGCUCGUAGUUGAACCUUGGGCCUGGCUGGCCGGUCCGCCUCACCGCGUGUACUGGUCCGGCCGGGCCUUUCCUUCUGGGGAACCUCAUGCCCUUCACUGGGCGUGUUGGGGAACCAGGACUUUUACUUUGAAAAAAUUAGAGUGUUCAAAGCAGG